rnacentral:rRNA from 1 species
AUAGAGACUCAGAGCUGCAUAUCAAUAAGCGGAGGAAAAGAAACUAACUAGGAUUCCCUUAGUAACUGGCGAGUGAAGCGGGAAGAGCUCAAAUUUGAAAUCUUCAAGGUUCUACCUUGACGAAUUGUAGUUUAUAGAAGUGUUUUCUGUUGAAGUUUCGGCUAAAAGUUCUUUGGAAUAGGACAUCAUAGAGGGUGAGAAUCCCGUAUUUGACGUCAUUCUUCUAGCUGUGUGAUACACUUUCAAAGAGUCGGAUUGUUUGGGAAUGCAGUCCAAAAUGGGUGGUAAAUUUCAUCUAAAGCUAAAUAUUGGCGAGAGACCGAUAGCGAACAAGUACCGUGAGGGAAAGAUGAAAAGAACUUUGAAAAGAGAGUUAAACCGUACGUGAAAUUGUCAAAAGGGAAGCGUUUGACACCAGUGUUGUUUUCUCGAAAAUCAAUUCAUGAUGGCUUGAUGCUAGGUUGUUAAGACUUUAUCAGCUUACUGUCUAGUUUUCUUGUCUUUGCGAAUGCACUUUUCGUUUAACAAGUCAACAUCAAUUUCUUUUGUUGUAAAAGGGUACGAGGAAGGUGGCUUUCUUUUCGGAGAAAGUGUUUAUAGCCUUGUACCUCUGCAAUCGGAGAGAUUGAGGUCUGCAGCGUAGAUCCUUCGGGGUUAGAUACAUUUGUGCUAAGUUAUAGCUUUUCAUAGACAACUUGUUGACUAUGUUUAGUCUUGUAGCUUACUCGCUUAUGCUAUUUUACCUACGCUUAGGAUGUUGAUAUGCAUGACUGAUAU